rnacentral:rRNA from 1 species
AACGAACGCUGGCGGCAUGCCUAACACAUGCAAGUCGAACGAGACCUUCGGGUCUAGUGGCGCACGGGUGCGUAACGCGUGGGAACCUGCCCUUAGGUUCGGAAUAACUCCCCGAAAGGGGUGCUAAUACCGGAUAAUGUCUUCUGACCAAAGAUUUAUCGCCUUUGGAUGGGCCCGCGUUGGAUUAGCUAGUUGGGAGGGUAAAAGCCUACCAAGGCGACGAUCCAUAGCUGGUCUGAGAGGAUGGUCAGCCACACUGGGGCUAGGACGCGGCCCGGACUCCUACGGGAGGCAGGAGUGGGGGAUAUUGGACAAUGGGCGGAAGCAUGAUCCAGCAAGGCCGGGUAAGUGAUGAAGGCCUUAGGGUUGUAAAGCUCGUUUACCCGGGAUGAUAAUGACGGUACCGGGAGAAUAAGCACCGGCUAACUCCGUG